AUUUCUUCUUCGUUCUUCUCUUGCGGCGGAUGCUUUACCGUCAAAUUUUCACAGAAACUAAACAGUCCCUUUGCUACCUGUAACUCCUCUCAACUCCGACAUUUAUUUUGAGUUUUUCACUUGAUUAAUCCACUCCUCCUUCAUUAAGAUCUGUGUGCACCUGUUCGUUUCCCUUGAAACCGCUUUCAUCCUCUCCGACAUUCAUCUGUACUCGAUUCUGGGAAGCCCGUAAUGGGAAGAAUGGAGGAGAGCUGAUGGGGAUUGACUUGCUCUUUCUUGAAGAAAAGGCAGAGAGAGAGAAGAGUCUGCUAAGAUAGAGAUGUGAGGCAUCAGGACUUCAAGGCGGCAAAGUUUGGGCUCUUCCGUUGAAUAUAUUCACUUACAAGAAAAUCUGCAACAGUGCUUCUGCUCAAGCGUCGAGGCACCAACGUCUCCAUGUACAUCAGGUACCCUAUGGCCAUCACAACACUUCUGUAUUCACACGGAAAUGCUGCUGAUAUUGUACAGAUGUACUAGCUCUUAGUCGAGCUUACUAUUCAGCUCCGUAAAUGGGGCUAAUUCUUUCUUUUCUUUUGUGUGUAUUCACUUGCUGAUACUAAAGCUGUGGAUUUAAAUUCUCAGAUCAGUUUUUCAUUACUGUGUUUAGCUCAGAAAGUUAGAUCUGAAUUAUUAUUUUUGGAUUAUGUAAAUACUCUGCUUCUGAAUUUUUGUAGCUAUUUAUUAGCUCUUAGACUCUCUCUCUAUUUAUAUAGAUAUUAUUAUAGAUACAUUAAAAAUGAUGCAAUGAUGAGUGUAUACGUCCAUAUGUUCUUAAUUUUCUCUUUCAGUUCUCAAUGAUUCAUAUACGUGCUUGAUUUCAUAUAUUUGUUUUUUUGGAUCGGUAAUCAUUGUAAGAACCUUUGGUGGGGAUAUGGAAUUUGGAAUUUUGGUGAAUUCUAUUUGUUUUCAGUCUCUCUCUACACCAUCCCUGUAAAUGAUGCGAUGAUGUUUGUGUACGCCCCUCUGUUCUUAAUGCUCCCUUUAAGAUUCCCACUGGACAGUUCAUGAAGAUAUGCUUUUCUGAUUUCAUGUAUUUGUUCUUUGGACUGGUAACAGUUGAUUUGCUCUAGAUACUGUGCAAACCUAUUGUUGGAACAUGAAAGUUUAAUUUUUUGUUGCAUUAUAUUAGCUCUUUGACUCUUUUCUUUUUAGAUACAAUACUUUUGUUCUUUCAGUGUGGAGAAGCAUAUACUCUUAUCGCUCAAAUCUACCAAAGUUUUUCCUAACGUUAUAGACUGGUAUCGCCUGUGUUUCUCCAUCAUUACUCGGUCAUAAAUCUGCUUGCAAGGAAAAGCCUUCGACCCCUCCUCAUCCUACCAACGGUUGAUCAUCUUUGUGUUGUCUUAUUUAUGCUUUACUGCUCGCCGAUGAGGCGAUGACUAUACCACUCACUGGAAACAGCAACAUCAAGCCUCUGAACGUGUCCCAAGCUCUCACUACUGGCCUCCUGCAAUUUCUUUUGAAGCUCAUGUGCACAAGACCAAUGAGAAAUGCUUCUUUGAACCCCUUUCGAUAUGGCAGAACUCCUAGAGUACUCACUCACUCAUUUAAAGCUAAGCGAUACGCAAAGCUAAGCGAUAAAAAAAUUGCCUGUAACACGCUUUAUAAAAACUUACGAUAGAUAAUAAAAAUGUAUUAGUUACCUAAAUCAAAGACUACUAAAA